rnacentral:rRNA from 1 species
CGAUACGGCCGCACGUCCGCAGGCUACAGGAAGGGGCAUCUGUACCUGGUGCUCAAUGACUGGAAGAAGGGCUUCAGCAUCCACAAGCUGGACCUGCACGACGGCUCGGACGGCGGCGACUUGGCCCUGCGGCCUCCCGUCCACCGCCAAUCAAGCGAACAAACUAAUUACUGGAGCUUCGCCGCCGUUGGCAGCAACAUCAUCGCCACCGAAAAUCUAAGCUCCCCGGGGAUAGGUUGCGUCACCCUCGCGUAUGACACCGAGACAGCGGGGCUGUCUAUCAUCCCUGAUCUUCCAAAACCUUUGCAUGGUCAUUGGAUCCACGCCGCAGCGGCCGGGAACCAGUUGUACACCUUCGUGGGCAACUUGGAUGAUCAGGAGGGUUGCUCCGAAGGAUGCAUGCAUCACCUCGAAGAUGUGCCUCCGCCGACGGACAGGGAGGCGUACUGGUGCGGGAACAGAGACCACUGGUCAUGGAGCAGCAUCCCAUCGACACUCCCUUUCAACGUGUACCAAAUGUUGUCGAUCGCAGUGCAUCCGGAGGGAGGAGGGCGCACACUGUUUGUAUCGGUGGAGGGGGGUGGAGCCUCGGACCCCUGGAGCGAGGGCGCUGGCAAUGGUGCCUUGGGCCACUUCGGUGAGGGCAUCCCCUCCCGCACCUACUCCAACGACAUCGAGAGCGGCAAGUGGACGGGCCAUUGCGAGUGGGGUCUACCCUUUUUCGGCCAAGUCCACUACAACAAGGAGCUCGACGCAUGGGUUGGGCUCCACAAGGCGCAUGGAGACCCAGAUGGCUACAUCUCCUCGUGCGACGUCAUUUGUCCCAACGAGAGCCCCGCGCGCGCAGCCGGCCUGGAAUUUAUGCAUGGAGAGGUUGUUCGAUCCUCAUGCGGAGGCCAUGAGGCUAUACAGGGAUAG